GCGGGGGUAGCAAAGCCUGGUCAAAUUGGGAUAGCGUGUUAUUCCAAGACUUAAUGCGCAGGACUUAAGAUCCUGUCCCUUAGUGGGUCCGAGAUGAAUUUGGCUAUUCAAAUUCACGGAAAGGUUCGAAUCCCUCCCCCCGCA
rnacentral:tRNA from 1 species